rnacentral:rRNA from 1 species
UUAUACAGCGACUGCGAAUGGCUCAUUAUAUAAGUUAUCGUUUAUUUGAUAGUACCUUACUACUUGGAUAACCGUGGUAAUUCUAGAGCUAAUACAUGCUGAAAAUCCCGACUUCGGAAGGGAGGUAUUUAUUAGAUUAAAAACCAAUGCCCUCUGGGCUCCUUGGUGAUUCAUAAUAACUUUUCGAAUCGCACGGCCUUGCGCCGGCGAUGGUUCAUUCAAAUUUCUUCCCUAUCAACUUUCGAUGUUUGGGUAUUGGCCAAACAUGGUCGCAACGGGUAACGGAGGGUUAGGGCUCGACCCCGGAGAAGGAGCCUGAGAAACGGCUACUACAUCCAAGGAAGGCAGCAGGCGCGCAAAUUACCCAAUCCCGAUUCGGGGAGGUAGUGACAAUAAAUACUGAUACAGGGCUCUUUUGGGUCUUGUAAUUGGAAUGAGUACAAUUUAAAUCUCUUAACGAGGAACAAUUGGAGGGCAAGUCUGGUGCCAGCAGCCGCGGUAAUUCCAGCUCCAAUAGCGUAUAUUAAAGUUGUUGUGGUUAAAAAGCUCGUAGUUGAACCUUGGGCCUGGCUGGCCGGUCCGCCUCACCGCGUGUACUGGUCCGGCCGGGCCUUUCCCUCUGUGGAACCUCAUGCCCUUCACUGGGUGUGGCGGGGAAACAGGACUUUUACUUUGAAAAAAUUAGAGUGCUCCAGGCAGGCCUAUGCUCGAAUACAUUAGCAUGGAAUAAUAAAAUAGGACGCGUGGUUCUAUUUUGUUGGUUUCUAGGACCGCCGUAAUGAUUAAUAGGGACAGUCGGGGGCAUCAGUAUUCAAUUGUCAGAGGUGAAAUUCUUAGAUUUAUUGAAGACUAACUACUGCGAAAGCAUUUGCCAAGGAUGUUUUCAUUAAUCAGGAACGAAAGUUAGGGAUCGAAGACGAUCAGAUACCGUCGUAGUCUUAACCAUAAACUAUGCCGACUAGGGAUCGGACGAUGUAUUUUUGACGCGUUCGGCACCUUUACGAGAAAUCAAAGUGCUUGGCUCCAGGGGGAGUAUGUCGCAGCUGAACUUAAAGAAAUUGACGGAGGCACACAGGGUGGAGCUGCGCUUACGGACUCACACGGGAAA